rnacentral:rRNA from 1 species
CCUACGGGAGGCAGCAGUGGGGAAUCUUGCGCAAUGGGCGAAAGCCUGACGCAGCAACGCCGCGUGCGGGAAGAAGGCUUUCGGGCUGUAAACCGCUUUCAGCAGGAACGAAAAUGACGGUACCUGCAGAAGAAGGAGCGGCCAACUAUGUGCCAGCAGCCGCGGUGAUACAUAGGCUUCAAGCGUUGUCCGGAUUUAUUGGGCGUAAAGAGUUCGUAGGCGGUCGAGUAAGUCGGGUGUGAAAAUUCUGGGCUCAACCCAGAGACGCCACCCGAUACUGCUUAACUUGAGUUCGAUAGGGGAGUGGGGAAUUCCUAGUGUAGCGGUGAAAUGCGCAGAUAUUAGGAGGAACACCGGUGGCGAAGGCGCCACUCUGGAUCGAUACUGACGCUGAGGAACGAAAGCAUGGGUAGCAAACAGGAUUAGAUACCCUGGUAGUCCAUGCCGUAAACGGUGGGCACUAGGUGUGGGAUUCUAUUAACGAAUUCCGCGCCGUCGCUAACGCAUUAAGUGCCCCGCCUGGGGNGGUACGGUCGCGAGACGAAACUACGAAAGAAGUAAGUAGCGUUGAGUACGUUGCCGAACGGCGACGACGAGGGAGGAGG